AGCGAACGCUGGCGGCAGGCCUAACACAUGCAAGUCGAACGAACCUUUCGGGGUUAGUGGCGGACGGGUGGGUAACACGUGGGAACGUGCCUUUAGGUUCGGAAUAACUCAGGGAAACUUGUGCUAAUACCGAAUGUGCCCUUCGGGGGAAAGAUUUAUCGCCUUUAGAGCGGCCCGCGUCUGAUUAGCUAGUUGGUUGAGGUAAUGGCUCACCAAGGCGACGAUCAGUAGCUGGUCUGAGAGGAUGAUCAGCCACAUUGGGACUGAGACACGGCCCAAACUCCUACGGGAGGCAGCAGUGGGGAAUCUUGCGCAAUGGGCGAAAGCCUGACGCAGCCAUGCCGCGUGAAUGAUGAAGGUCUUAGGAUUGUAAAAUUCUUUCACCGGGGACGAUAAUGACGGUACCCGGAGAAGAAGCCCCGGCUAACUUCGUG
rnacentral:rRNA from 1 species